ensembl:processed_transcript
UGUGCCUUAUUCGAGAAGAAUUUUGGAGCCUUGGAUUGUUGAGGGACAUGGACUUCCAUGGCAAGGACAUAUACAUUGAGGACUUUUAUGUUUUCCCUGUGUGGAAAGAAACUCCUAACAACAUUGUUACUGGAUUACCGGAAAAUUGCUUACCAAGUGGAUCAUGGGACAUGGUCUGAAAAGACUGGAUAUGAUUUUCCAGCUUUGCCACGUCAGACAAGAGGGAAUGAUUGUGGUGUUUUUGUACUCAUGUACACCCUCUCAAUGGUGUGUGGCAUUGGGUUUCAAUUCCAGGAGAUGGAUAUACCUAUCAUCCGUCAGUGGUGGUGCCUUCUACUCAUGGAACAAUUUCAAACUGAUGGUAUGUCACCGACUCGGUCCCAGUAACUCCCCUCGCUGGCCAGCAGAGGCCACCAUCUCCGGACUUUUAGCAUUACGUCAUCCAUCUACACUGAUUGCGCAUACACCUGAUUGGAAUCUGGCUAAUGACCCACGUACCUCUUAUAAGCCGCACUCAAACACUCGUUCAGGGCGAAGUCUUGUUUAGCCCCGGCCAGCAUUUCUGAGCAUUAUCUCCAGCCUGAUCUCCUGUGCACGACACCAGCCUGUCUCUUACUUUGCUUCGCAUUCUGCCUGCCCACG